rnacentral:rRNA from 1 species
AGCAGCCGCGGUAAUUCCAGCUCCAAUAGCGUAUAUUAAAGUUGUUGCAGUUAAAAAGCUCGUAGUUGAAUUUCCGGGCCCGGCCAGACGGUCUGCCGCAAGGUGUGUAUCGUCGGACGGGCUUGACCUUUUUCCGAAGACUGUGCGUGCUCUUCACUGAGUUGCGUACGGGACUCGGGACUUUUACUUUGAAAAAAU